rnacentral:snoRNA from 1 species
AUGAUGAAAGCGUUGGUGGAAGAACGGUGACUGACGACGGACGGACUGA